rnacentral:rRNA from 1 species
GGUUAAGCGACUAAGCGUACACGGUGGAUGCCCUGGCAGUCAGAGGCGAUGAAGGACGUGCUAAUCUGCGAUAAGUGUCGGUAAGGUGAUAUGAACCGUUAUAACCGGCGAUUUCCGAAUGGGGAAACCCAGUGUGUUUCGACACACUAUCAUUAACUGAAUCCAUAGGUUAAUGAGGCGAACCGGGGGAACUGAAACAUCUAAGUACCCCGAGGAAAAGAAAUCAACCGAGAUUCCCCCAGUAGCGGCGAGCGAACGGGGAGCAGCCCAGAGCCUGAAUCAGUAUGUGUGUUAGUGGAAGCGUCUGGAAAGGCGCGCGAUACAGGGUGACAGCCCCGUACACAAAAAUGCACAUGCUGUGAGCUCGAUGAGUAGGGCGGGACACGUGGUAUCCUGUCUGAAUAUGGGGGGACCAUCCUCCAAGGCUAAAUACUCCUGACUGACCGAUAGUGAACCAGUACCGUGAGGGAAAGGCGAAAAGAACCCCGGCGAGGGGAGUGAAAAAGAACCUGAAACCGUGUA